AUUGAACGCUGGCGGCAGGCCUAACACAUGCCAGUCGAGCGGAUGAAGGGAGCUUGCUCCUGGAUUCAGCGGCGGACGGGUGAGUAAUGCCUAGGAAUCUGCCUGGUAGUGGGGGAUAACGUCCGGAAACGGGCGCUAAUACCGCAUACGUCCUGAGGGAGAAAGUGGGGGAUCUUCGGACCUCACGCUAUCAGAUGAGCCUAGGUCGGAUUAGCUAGUUGGUGUGGUAAAGGCCUACCAAGGCGACGAUCCGUAACUGGUCUGAGAGGAUGAUCAGUCACACUGGAACUGAGACACGGUCCAGACUCCUACGGGAGGCAGCAGUGGGGAAUAUUGGACAAUGGGCGAAAGCCUGAUCCAGCCAUGCCGCGUGUGUGAAGAAGGUCUUCGGAUUGUAAAGCACUUUAAGUUGGGAGGAAGGGCAGUAAGUUAAUACCUUGCUGUUUUGACGUUACCAACAGAAUAAGCACCGGCUAACUUCGUG
rnacentral:rRNA from 1 species